rnacentral:rRNA from 1 species
GACGAACGCUGGCGGCGUGCCUAAUACAUGCAAGUGGAACGCACAAGGUGCACCGUAGUUUACUACACCGUACUUUGUGAGUCGCGAACGGGUGAGUAACGCGUAGGUAACCUACCUUUUAGCGGGGGAUAACUAUUGGAAACGAUAGCUAAUACCGCAUAAGAUAUCUUACUGCAUGGUAAGAUGUUAAAAGAUGCAAUUGCAUCACUAAGAGAUGGACCUGCGUUGUAUUAGCUAGUAGGUGAGGUAACGGCUCACCUAGGCAACGAUACAUAGCCGACCUGAGAGGGUGAUCGGCCACACUGGGACUGAGACACGGCCCAGACUCCUACGGGAGGCAGCAGUAGGGAAUCUUCGGCAAUGGGGGGAACCCUGACCGAGCAACGCCGCGUGAGUGAAGAAGGUUUUCGGAUCGUAAAGCUCUGUUGUAAGAGAAGAACGAGUGUGAGAGUGGAAAGU